GAAGAUUGACUCAGUUUCUUGUGUUGAUUGGUUCGAAAUGGUUAAUGAAGGAAGAUAAAGGUAGAUUUUGAAGGUUAAGGAGAAGUGUGAAGAAUGGUUUUUAUAUGAAAAGAAAGUGUGGUUUGUGGUGAGUUAUUUGUCUUUCUUUGCUGAUUUUUUCCUGUUUUGUGUUAUUAAUUUUUUGUUGUUUUGGUCACAGUUAUGGUUGUUAUUUAUUUGGAGGUAAUGGAGGUUGGAGUAAGAAAGUU
rnacentral:lncRNA from 1 species